GGGAACUCCUCGUGACAGGUGGUGUUAGUGUGUAAGAAACUCCUCGGCUUCUGGGAAGAAUUAAUUCAGAAAGGAAACAGAAAAGUCCAAUAUAUGUUUGUUAUUUUAGGCCUAAAUAUUAGACAUCUGUAUAUUGAGGGCUUGUCUGGUGAAUUUCGACUGCAAUUUGUGAAGCAGUUGUGGGCACAAAAGGCCAUGGACAUGUUAGCCAUUCUUCAAAACGAAAAGGAAACCUCGCCAAAGAAUAACUCGAAAUCAAAACUAAUGAGAUCAAGAUAACCAGAUGGAUGCAAGGCAACGGAACAUAGUACAUACUGUUGAUAAAAAGGUUACUGGCAUAUGUGUGCAAAGUUAAGAAUUAGCCCUUAGCACCAAGCGAUCGUUGGGCAGAGAUCUUCACAAAAUUAUUUCAGUGCUGCUCAAGGAAGGAGAUGGCCAUUCUGGCUUAUGGUCAGCUUCAUCCAAUAGGCAGAUGUCACGUUUGGCCGGAUCUUUCACAGACCUUUUCGUGCAAAGUUUUAUGGGAAGAAUUGCUUGAGCAUCAAGCAGUUUAUCUAAAGUGUUGAGGUAUAGGUUUCUGUUAUUGAAUUUCAAGGUAAAGGAAAUUGUUUUAUGAAACACACCACAGAUCAGAAAGAGAAAUGCAUGAAAAAGUAACUUAGUAAGUUAUUUUACCCGGCUCUUGAAUAUAAUUCAACAAAGUUGCUAAAAAUUUGGAUGUGGUUCCAUUCUACAGAGGAAAAGAAGCUCAUAAGUUUAAUGUCGACAUUGCUGUACUGUUGAAUCGUAAGUUGAAGUUCUCUUCUAGAAGAUGUAGAUGAACUGGAAAGAAAGAAUAAAGGCCUGUAGGCCCCCACCCCAAGGGGGCUGAUCUUGCAAGACAACUCUGGUGCUACUUGAGCCUUCCCUUCUGUUACCCUGCUACCAGAGGUCAUAUUAUAGGAGUCCGAGUCGAGAGCAGCUCUCAUGACAUGGUUUGUCACUUUUCUAAAAAUGUAAAUAUAGUUACUGUAUUUGAAAACUCUUUGGUUACUGGAGGCAUUUUGUCACUUGGACAUCUUUCAGUUGGGUAAUAUUUACUAGAUAGAUAUCUUGAAUCUGCUUCAUAAGAUUAUAGAUAGCUGUAGCUUAAGACAGAUGUUUGAAAUUUGUUUUCUUAUUGAUAGAUUUUUUUUACUUUGAUGAUUUAGAAUCCUCAAAGGUGUUCUAACUGUCACAGAGACAAAUCUUGGACAAGGGACUUGAAUGAAGGUCACAUAGUUGUAACUAGCUCUGGUGCCAUUUUUCAAAUACUAAUGCUUAACUAAUAUCGAGCAGCGCCUCAGUAGCGUGAACGGUAUGGUCUUGGCCUGCCACCUCGGUGGCUGCAGUUAGAUUCUUGGGCAUUCCAUGGAGGUGUGAGAGAUGUGUAUUUCUGGUGGUAGAAGGGCGCACUCGGUGUGGUUCAGAAGUCACGUAAAGCCGUUGGUCCCGUUGCUGAAUAACCACUGGUUCCAUGCAACAUAAAAUCACCAUACAAACAAACAAAAAUUGAGCAAGGUUGCCUUUCAAAUUAUUACUGAUGAGGAAUCAAAUGGAUUUAGAUUUUUUGAAGCUUUUCCAUUAAUCUAAGGUCAUUUUUUGGCAACGCAUUGCAGUCUCUUUGAAGAACUUUUGCUGUUGGUCAUACUCACAUAAUGACAGCCUAGUAGAAUACCUGAAAAGUAUUGUUCUAAAAGAGUUCUUUAAAGUAGUUGAGUAACUUUACCAUGCAAGUAGAAGGCUUAUGUUUUAUCCGAUUGUUUUUCAUUUAAUUAGUUUUGUUGUAGUAUAAGAUAAUUACUAUAGUGAUUGCAGCCUCAUAUUUAUAACUAAAUUAAUUAAUUACGGUGAAAUAUUAACGUAUUUUAGGGGUAAUAUAUAUCCCUUAAUUUGAUCCGAAGAGGGACACUUUACGUGUGUACUUAGUUGCACUAAAGAAUUUGAGAAUGCUGUAUUGAUUUAUGAUGAGAAUGGACUUUAAAUUUUUUUUUUUUUAUACCAUUACAUUUGUGGAACCACUGUAAAGCAGAAUGAAUUUCAUUAAUUCUGGGGCCUUUUUAGUUUGAUUGUAUCCUGUUACUUCCUAUAGAAAGAAGGUCUGUAUCACUUCAUUGUGUUAUUGACCAAAGACUACUGAACAAAAUAUGCAAGUGGUUGCAUCAUUUCACCCAGAACUGGUGAAAUGAUACCUUUCAUUUUCUUAAAUUAUCUCUACAUGUAUCAUUAUUUCCUAAUAAUCUGUAUCAAAGCAUAGAACAGAUGGCUACAACAAUUCUGAAGAUGAUUCAUAUAAUUCUAGAACUCACGUUACCAUUCACUGUUUCUAAUCGGAAAGACUGUAGAGUUCCAGAAAGUGGGGUAUGGAUUAUUAUCAUUUUAUAAGUGUCACGAAUGCUAUCCAUACUGUUGUCAUUGGGUGUAUUUCUGGAGAUGGGAAAUUAAGUUUUGAUGGUAGUAGUGUACAGAUAGACUUUUCUGAAGCUGAAUUGUUUUUCUUAUAAAUGUUAUUGGGAAAAUAUUUGGAA